rnacentral:lncRNA from 1 species
GACUUUUUAAGGAUCUUCACUGUGAUUUGUUAGUGACUUUUUAUCUUUAGUUUGAUUUUAAUUGUUUUUUUUAAUACAUUUGAGUUUAGGUUUGUUUUCCCAUUGCAUGGUUUUAGUUUUUUUUUUUUUUUUUUUUCUUGAUUGCAUGAGAUUGACAUUUUUGAUAUUUGAUUGCAUAUGGAUGGCAUUUUGAUUUUUUAAUUUCAUGAGUUUGAAUUUUUAUUCUUCGUAGAUAUUUCAUUAUUUUCUCUUAUUAUAUGAUUUUGUUUAUUUUAGUUUUUUUUAGGCUACAUCAGAUAAAUUUGUAACUUUUGUAUGGUAUGAGUACUAAUUUUGGUUUUACAUUUUUUGCAUGUGGUUGACCAUCUCAUCAUCACAUAUGAUCACUUGAGGAUCACCACCUAAGCAUUUAUCUUUAGGUGCAC